ACGGAAGGCAGCAGUGGGGAAUAUUGGACAAUGGGGGAAACCCUGAUCCAGCGACGCCGCGUGAGUGAAGAAGUAUUUCGGUAUGUAAAGCUCUAUCAGCAAGGAAGAAAAUGACGGUACUUGACUAAGAAGCUCCGGCUAAAUACGUGCCAGCAGCCGCGGUAAUACGUAUGGAGCAAGCGUUAUCCGGAUUUACUGGGUGUAAAGGGAGCGUAGACGGAAUGGCAAGUUUGGAGUGAAAACCUUAAGCUUAACUUAAGAAUUGCUUUGAAAACUGUCAAUCUAGAGUACUGGAGGGGUAUGGGGAAUUCCUAGUGUAGUAGUGAAAUGCGUAGAUAUUAGGAAGAACACCGGAGGCGAAGGCGCCAUACUGGACAGAUACUGACGUUGAGGCUCGAAAGCGUGGGGAGCAAACAGGAUUAGAUACCCUGGUA
rnacentral:rRNA from 1 species